rfam:Schistosoma mansoni, WGS project CABG00000000 data, chromosome 2 unplaced supercontig 0120, strain Puerto Rico
AGCUUUUUGAAUCCGUGCUGAGAUUUCGUCAGACACCAACCCAUUAGGUCUGAUCAGACUUCCAAGACAAGUGAAGUU